UUCCCGCCUAUCUAAUUUUCACUCUCCCGCUCAUCCUUUUCACCAACAAAAUCAAAACCUUCCCCUAGUAUCUCACACACGCGCGUUGUGUGUAUUCAAACCCUAAUCCAGUGAACCAGAAUCAUCAGCAUAAUCAUGGGAAGAAGAACCGAGUCCUGGUUGGCUCAACAGUGGUCUUCUCCCACAUUCACCACAUCUCCGAAUCACAGCUGUUACAUCUCUGAGUUCCUGGUUUCUGUUUACUCAGUCUACUUCCAUUCUUUUCAUAUAAUAUGUGAGUUCAUGCUCCUCUUUCUCUACGGUUUCAUUUUGUCGUGUUUAUACCCAAUUCUGCAUCAACUUGGAUAUUUGCUUCCGAAUUGGCUGUAUUGUUGUUGUGUUCAUGCUGGUGAUGUCAUUGUUGCGACAUAUCUGGAUCCUAAAGAUCUAAUCAGAGCCGAUGCUGUUCUUGUAGAAGAAGCUGAUCUGAUUCAGAGUAUGGGUUUGUGCUCUUUAUCGUGUUGCUUUCGAUGGUAGCAUAGAUGACACUACCACUAUUCAAUUUUGAGGUUAUUGUGGUGCUCGUGUUACCUGGUCUACCUGGUCGAGUGCUUUUUAACUCAGUUUCUUUUCUUCUAAUAACACAUGGCAUAAAAUGCAAUGGUAAGAAGUUUAAAUGGAAGACCUGUUUUUCAAUCUUGUGCAAUGCUCUAACUGCAAUUACCUUUUUUGUAGACAUGUAUGCAUUCAUUAUUGGAAGUUAUGUCAUCUUGACUGUACUUGCUGGUGUAAGAUAUCUAGUUGGUCAAAUUUAAACAAGGAUAACUACAAUUUUAUUAGGUCAAAUAUUGAAAUGGUGUUCCAUUGUUGUGAAAGGUUUUGAAUUAUUCUCUAAGUGGAUAAGGCCAAAUUUCCAGUUAGAGAUGGUUCAGGAGUUCCAAGUUCCAUAUGCAAAUAUCCGGCAUGCGAGCCUAAACGAGUUCAUUGUUUAUUUAACUUUUCUUUAAUAUAUUACAUAUAUAUUUAAAUAAUGAUAGUUAUUAUUUAUUAUAUUAUAUAAAAUAACUAAAUUUUUAUAAACUAAUUAUGACUAAUAAAAAUUAACUAAUUAAUGAAAACGAGUUGAGCCCGAGCCAAGCUCAAGCGUCAAAAACUACCUACGAGCCCGAGCUUGUGCUAUAGAAGCAAAGCUCGAAUCGAGCCGAGAUCGGGCUUAGGCUCGACUCGUUUACGCUCCUAGUUAAAUUUUUAUUAGAUCCUACUUGAAAAUAACAAUCAAUCUUGUUAUCACUUGGAAGGUUCAGAAGCUAGCUUAGCAUCAGUUUUGGAAUUAAUGGAAUUUUGGCAAGGCGCAUGGUUCUAAAGCUACCGUAACGGAGGAGUUUUUUUGAUGGGCUGUUGCGAAUGGCGCUGUUGUAAUUUUGAGCGAAUGUUAUGAAGAAGUUGCUAAUGGCGCACCUGGAAAGCAUCCACAAUUGUAGCAGGUGGAUUUGGUGUGGUUGCUAGUUGCUAGGAGUGAUGAAUGUUCUAAUGUAGUUGCUACUUCAUUUGUAGAUAGUUUUUUUUUUAUUAAAAGUUUGUGUUUUUAUUAUUUACGUUAAAAAUUAUGUAUGAAUUAUGUAUGGAUUUUGGUUUAUUAUUGUUAAUAUUAUAUGUUUUUAAGUUUUCUCAUGCAU